UGGGCUGUGGUUCAGUGGUAGAGCAUUCACCUGGCAUGUGUGAGGCACUGGGUUCGAUCUUCAGCACCACAU
rnacentral:tRNA from 1 species